CAGUAGCCACGGGAAUACGUAGGGUGCAAGCGUUGUCCGGAUUUACUGGGCGUAAAGAGCUCGUAGGUGGUGUGUCGCGUCGUCUGUGAAAUUCCGGGGCUUAACUCCGGGCGUGCAGGCGAUACGGGCACGACUAGAGUGCUGUAGGGGUAACUGGAAUUCCUGGUGUAGCGGUGAAAUGCGCAGAUAUCAGGAGGAACACCGAUGGCGAAGGCAGGUUACUGGGCAGUUACUGACGCUGAGGAGCGAAAGCAUGGGGAGCGAACAGGAUUAGUUACCCCUGUAGUCCCUGUCUCUUAUA
rnacentral:rRNA from 1 species